CGAACAGGCUGUAGAUGCUGGUGACCGAGAGGGAUCCCGCCUUAAACUCCUCGGUGAAGAUAAACUCUGCAAACCUGUGGGACAAAGAGAAGGACACAGAAAGAGAUGGAUGAUGAAAUGAUGAGUAAUAUAAAAAAUUAAUGAAAUCUGUCUAUAUUUAGAAAGUGAUCCUGCUGCCUAAUAGUGUAAAUCAGCUGGUGUAUUUCUAACAGAUGACCUACAAAAAGGUUUCUCCUCAUCAGGAAUAACACAAAACAUAUCAGUAUUGUGUUAUGUGUUUUUAAAAACUUCAGUUCAUAUAUCUGUAUUGUGAAAACUAAAAUGAAAGUCAGGAAAAAAACGUUUUGCUAUUUUGCACUAUGAGCUGAUAUGUGGUACAAUCAGUUCCCAGCAUAUUGGGGAAAUAAAUUUUACUGACAACUUG